GAAAAAUCUACCAGAGUUGUCUUUCUUUAUGAAGCAGAAGACACUUGCUGUGAAAACGGAAAUGGAUGCCAGUUCAUUUUAGGGAUAUUUACAGGAUGCUGUUCACUAAGCUAAUGGUGGGGAUCGUAGCAGUUACCCUGCACACAGAUAUUGAAUGGUCGAGCUAUCUGGUCCAUUAUCAGAAGAGUGGACAGCACUGUGCGUCCAAUCAGAGAAGUUUCUCGAGAAGCAUUACGAGGGACUUGUAUGAAUGGCAGAAGACAUUUUCUUAACUCACCAUCAUUGCCUGAUGUUGGCGACUGAACACUUUAUUGAAAAUUGGUGGAAUGUAGCAAUCAAUGGGUGUCAUCAUUUGCCGUGAAAAGACUAAGAGAACUCCCUGGUCCUCAUGAGAUGGUGACACCCUGCAGUAGGAGCAGUUCCUACCGGUAUCUCUUAAAAGCAGAAAGAAGUUUUCUUAGCAUCUGAUCCAUUUCUGGAGACAAACUUUUGUAUGGAGCUGGUAAAAUUUCUAUCUUUUUAACUCAUCUGAGCUAUAAGAUCAAGUGGGCUUUUCUGGUCACCACUUGUCUGUUGUACAUCUGUCUGUCCAUCUGUCUGUAAACUUAUUUUUAACUUCUCUACAAUCACAGAGCCCAAUUUCGUCUAAAUGAAGGGCCUCCUACCGUCAAAGGUUAGAUAAUCAAAAAAUGAAGAAAGAUAGGAUGAGGUCUUUUAAGUAUCGUCUCCAGAACUAACGAGGUAGAAAUGAUGAAACCUUUAUAAAUAUUGUGAAACUCUCCUAAAAUGUAUUAUUUUGUUUUAAUUUUGGCUCCAGGGGAUAGGAUAAGGCCAUCGGUGCCUGGGAAGGACAAAAACAACAGGCCAAUGACCCCAAUUAUGGUAUAAUGGUGGGGACAUUCUGAAAUUUAUUGUGCUGAAAUAAUGUACAUUAGGUCCAUUUUUAGCUCACCAGAGCCAAAGGCUUAAGUGAGCUUCUCUGACUAAAAUCUGUACGUUGUCUGUUGUCGGGAUCAUCAUAAACUUUUUACAUUUCCAUCUUCUUCUCCAGCACCAGUGGGCCAAUUUCAACAAAACUUGGCACAAAGCAUUCUUGGGUGAAAGGGAUUCAAUUUUGUACAAAUGAAGGACCAUGCCCCUUUCCAAGGGGAAUUAAUAGAGAAAUAGUGAAAAUACAUUGACGAUUUAUAAAAAUCUUCUCCAGAACCACUCGACCAAUUUCAGCCAAUCAUGGCAUAAAGCAUCCUUGGGUAAAGGGGAUUCAGGUUUGUUUCAAAUGAAGGGUACUGUCCUUCAAAGGGGAGAAAAUCACAAAAAAUAGGGUGGGGUCAUUUUUAAAAAUCAUUUUUUAAGAACCACUGGAAUUUACAUGAAAGCUUCCUGACAUAGUACAAAUUUAAGUUUGUUAAAACCAUGACCCCCUUUGAGGCCAUAAUAGGGGAUCAAACUUUUACAUGCGAAUAUAUAGGUAAAAUCUUUGAAAAUCCUCUUCUCAAGAACCACUGCGCCAGAAAAGUACAAAUUUACAUGAAAGCUUCCAGACAUAGUGCAGAUUCAAGUUUGUAAAAUUCAUCGACCCUGGGGGUAGGAUAGGGGCCCAACAGGGAUCAAAGUUUUACAAGUUAUUAUAUAGGAAAAAUCUUUAAACAUUGGCCAAGGUAACUCAGGUGAGCGGUGUGGCCCAUGAGCCUCUUGUUAAUAAUGUUUGUUGUUGACACCAGAUACACUAAUUCAACAACACAUAAUGUUUUCUAUUGAUUUUUCACCAAUCCUUCAUCCUUAAAUUUUGGGUAGAAUCUGCCCUUAAGUAAAAAUUGUUACAGAUGCCGUAAAAUUUAUUUUAAAAACAGGAAUAAGGAAGAUUGAUAUCAUUACAAUGAACUUUUAAGACUCUUUAUUCAUAUAUGUACAUGGUUUAAGUAUUAAACAUGUUUACAAAUACUGAACUUUACAUUGGGAGGUGAGGGAUGGUGAACUAUUUUCUGAAUUUAACGUUGAGACGUGAGGGGUUGGAGGACUGCUUUCUGAACUUUAUGUAGUGAGGUGACAUGGAUGAGAACUAUUCUAUGAGCAUUAUGUUGAGACGUGAGGGGAUGGAGAACUAUUUUCUGAACUUUACGUUGGGAGGUGAGGGUGUGAGAAACUUUUCAUUGAUGUCGCCUAGGACUUGAUGUAUACAGAGGGUAGCAGUUACUUGAGAUGUCUGGCUGAUUGACGAGGAUAAUUGUCCUGCGACUCUGACAGUCUGUAGGACUUGGAUAGUUCUAUUGCUGUAGAAAAUGUCAGGACGGUGGAGAUUUAGAUAAGUGGUGUGAUGUUAUUGAGGGUAAACAGAAGACUGUGACCUUGAAUCUGAAGAUCUGUGAUGAAGACUUGACGUUUGGGGUCACUCUCUGUUACAGUACUACAAAUCUAACAGUGAGCCACUCAGCCACAAAGAGGUUGUCUCUGAUGUCCACACAUAAACCUAAUGGAAGCUUUAAAUGACAGUGAAUGUAACGGAGGAACUGUCCGUCCUGAUCUAGGAUGUGGAUACGCUGAUAGUCUGCUGUCAGGAUGUGACUCUGGCUGUCUGUAGUGAUGCCGACUGGAGUAAAUGAUUGCUUGGUAUUAGAGGGAUGACCAGUGUAUCUAAAUCGGAGUUUUCCUGACUGAUUGACCACCACUACUGCACUAGCUGACCGGUCAGCCACACAGAUAUCCAGGUUCUUGUUCUCACUGAGGUAUUUAUAGUUAUAUAAACCACCAGAUGAGUAGAGAGGACGACCCUGAUCAUCAAACUGAAUGCUUUGUUUCUCUGUGGAGCCGGAGUAACGUACGACUUUGGAUUGUUUGAGAUCAUCACUGAUCAUGGUAACCAGGAGGUCGUUACCCGCGGUACAGCAGACACGGAGAGGUAUCCACCCCUGUAGUGUGAUCACGAAUGAGUUGAGUGGAAUAAUGAACCUCCAGAUAUCUAUGUACAUGUGUAUAUUAUAAUUAAACUUCUGUUGCACUCGCGCAUGCGAGAUUACUCUA